GCCAGUGUGGCCUAGUGGUUAGAGUGCAGGAAUAGGACCUGGAGUCCAGGGUUUGAUUACCUGCUCAGCCA